CCUGUUUCCAAGAAGCCCACAAUCACAGGACCUAAUGACUACGGGCUCCCACGUACUUUGAGGGGAGAUUGACACAGCAUCCUCAGCCUGCGGCAUGCCAGCACAGAGGAAGCACGGCGCGGGCAGGAUUAGAGCCAGCGAGGGAAGCAGCAGACAACAGGGGAUUCAACGAGGAGAAGCAACGGGCAUGAGAGAAUGAAGAAGAAGCGAUGAAGAGGACACUAAACGAGAGAACGACUGAAGAGGGGAGGGAGAGUCUCACAGAUCGUGAGUUUAAGGCUGUGCGUCCUUUUUGCCUGGAAUAGUGAUUGUUGAAACGUACAACCAAGUGACAGAACACAGCAACCCCCCUUUGCAGGUGGGCGAGCAUCCAGGCUGAAGCUCAGAUGGAGACACAGGCGACCCUCCUGAGAAAGAAAGACUUUCACCUUUAAAGUAAAUGGAUGUUACUUUGCUUUACUUUGCUGACGUGUCAUAAAUGUUCCCUUUCAGUCAAUCAAUUAUUUCAGUCAAUCAAUUACAUGAACAGGGAAAUACAAUAUGUUUAGCAAAGAUUAAAAAUGGACAACAUGGGAAAACGAGAAAUGUGAAAUGAGGCCAACGCGGAGGCUGUCGGGGAUGCGACGGUAGCGUGGGAAUCAUUCUUCUCUGUGGGUUGGCUCGUGACAGGCAGAGGUGGAACCAGGGUUUUGUAUCGCUCAGUGUUAUACAAAAAAAUCAUACAAAGCAGUUCUACAAAAGAAAACGAGGGGAGAGAACAGUGGAGCUGGUCAGAGGAACACACAGUCCCAGCAUCCCAACACAAAGGCCUGAGUCACUUUAGAGACGGACUCAGCAGGUCCUUCACUUGGGUGAAUUAUAUCACUGAUGUUUUGCAAAAAUGUGCUUCCAUUGAUAGACAGAAUUUAUAUAACAAGACUAUUCUGCCAGUAGUUCAUCGGCUUGACAAUCAGAUCCAGAAAAUAAAUCCUGUCGAGGUUACAUAAUUUGCCUUUGAAGGCACCAGGUAAUUGAUACGCAAACCUUUCACAGACAGUGAGGCUUAAUUGCUCUUUUCUGUGACCACUUACGACCAGCUUGUAACAGCACAGGAAUGACCAGUAUGCAUAAAUACUCCACCUCAGCUGCCAUAUCUUCCAGACAUUAAUGUUCAAGUAUUUCCACUUAGAGAGUAGAAUUUAUUAUUGUGGCAGAUGUAAUAGUGUGUCUAAUGAUGGGAGAUUACAAGAGGUUUUAGGAGAAGUUGACAAUGCAUCUGAAUUUCUCUAUUCCCUCAAUUCUUUUGGGAUUAACAGCCAUGAAAUUCCCACCUUUGUUAUUCCAAGGAGGCCGAUUAUAAGUCCGCAUCUGCAAAUGUAUGAGAUUAGAGAGGAGUGAGUCACACAUGGACACAGUGAAAUAAUUCCACAAGUGUAUUAGUGUUAGUUCAACACUAAUGAAUCUACUGUAAUGUUUCAAAGGCAGGACAUAAGUACGUACACAGUUAAGGCUGCAACUGGCAAUACAUUUUUUAAUGAAAAGUAAAUAUAGUUAAUACAAUUUUAUUUGUUUGAGCAACAGUCAAAAUUUGAAUUACACUUUUUUCUUCUCGAGCCACUCAAUCACUUCAGGAUACAACCUUGUAUAUUUGCUACAUCUCAAUUUACUUUAUCCUUCUAUUAAUUGAUAUUGCUCUAAUAUAACACAACCCCCGAGACAAGAUGCUCAAAAAUCUCAAAUCCAAACUAGAUAUACAAC
ensembl:lncRNA